rnacentral:rRNA from 1 species
GCGAACGCUGGCGGCGUGCUUAACACAUGCAAGUCGAACGGUGAAGCGCCUUCCUUUUUGGUGGGUGUGGAUGAGUGGCGAACGGGUGAGUAACACGUGAGUAACCUGCCCCCUUCUUCUGGAUAACCGCAUGAAAGUGUGGCUAAUACGGGAUAUUCUGGGUCUGUCGCAUGAUGGGUCUGGGAAAGAUAUUGUUUCGGUGGGGGAUGGGCUCGCGGCCUAUCAGCUUGUUGGUGGGGUGAUGGCCUACCAAGGCGGUGACGGGUAGCCGGCCUGAGAGGGUGGACGGUCACACUGGGACUGAGACACGGCCCAGACUCCUACGGGAGGCAGCAGUGGGGAAUAUUGCACAAUGGGCGCAAGCCUGAUGCAGCGACGCCGCGUGAGGGAUGGAGGCCUUCGGGUUGUGAACCUCUUUCGCCAGUGAAGCGGGCCUGCCUCGUUUGUGGGUGGGUUGACGGUAGCUGGAUAAGAAGCGCCGGCUAACUACGUG